rnacentral:rRNA from 1 species
UACGUAGGGACCGAGCGUUGUCCGGAAUCAUUGGGCGUAAAGAGCGUGUAGGCGGCCACUUAAGUCCUGCGUGAAAUCUUGCGGCUCAACCGCAAGCGGUCGUGGGAAACUGGGUGGCUAGAGUGCGGGAGAGGAGAGUGGAAUUCCUGGUGUAGCGGUGGAAUGCGCAGAUAUCAGGAAGAACACCGGUGGCGAAGGCGGGUCUCUGGGCCGAUAUUGACGUGAGGAGCGAAAGCGUGGGGAGCGAACAGG